rnacentral:lncRNA from 1 species
GUUGGCAUUCUUUUGCCUCAUAUGCUGCUCAAACGGUCUGGGAUGCUGCAUGUUUCUUGGCUUGUUCGGUGGGCUCCUGAGUUGCAAGUUUAUAAAAUCAUCCAUAUCUCUUUGCUGUUCUUCUAUUUCGACAUCAGGUACAUGGCCGUUAUAACUUUACUGUUAAUGUUGCUUACAGCACAUGGUAGUGUGGAUUUGUAUUAUCUCUAUGUUACUCAAUGUGAUGAAGCUCCUCUUUGCUUAUCUAUGGAGAUGGUCAUUCAGCAAUUAUACCUGGCUAACUUCUAUUCUAUGUAGCUGGUUCUUAUCUGCUUGCUGGAUUAAUUGUUGUCUCUAGAAUAUAUGUUUUGGACUUUAAUCAGGCCAAAUGUUCAGCUAUCGGGGAUGGAUGAGGACAAAUCUUACAUCAACUGUCAAAGUUCCCUUUCCUUGUUUAGAACAUGCUUUUGGAGGUAUGUAAUUGCUUGUUGCUUCUUCAGCUAUUCUGUUACAAGCUGCAACGUGACUGUUAUGAGUUUGCCUUAGUCCACUUAUCACAGAGUUCCGUCUCUUCUUUGCAUCAUAAGUUUCAACCAUCAUUUCAAGUCAUUUGUUGGUUGUAAUUCUCCAUAUAUCUUUGGUUGUUGUGGGUAAUGGGUUGCUAUCAUCUGCUUGCUUUUGCAUUCAGGCUCACUGCAUGCUGCUGCUACUAUAAUUUUCUGUCCCCAUCCUACAGCUGUGUUCCAAGGUUUAUCAAAGCUGGGCCAUGCGGUCGCCGGCUUAAAUUUCUCCAUGUAUCUUUGCUUCGGAACAAAACAAUUAAGAUCAGAC